CAGCCGCCGCGGUAAUACGUAGGGAGCGAGCGUUCUCCGGAUUUAUUGGGUGUAAAGGGUGCGUAGGCGGUUUCUUAAGUCUGUAGUCUAAGCCCGGAGCUUAACUCCGGUUCGCUACAGAAACUGAGUUACUUGAGUAUGGUAGAGGCAAGUGGAAUUUCUAGUGUAGCGGUUAAAUGCGUAGAUAUUAGAAGGAACACCGGUGGCGAAGGCGACUUGCUGGGCCAUCACUGACGCUGAGGCACGAAAGCGUGGGGAGCAAAUAGGAUUAGAUACCCUAUUAGUCCACGCCGUAAACGAUGGAUACUAAGUGUCGGAGUUAUUCGGUGCUGAAGUUAACACAUUAAGUAUCCCACCUGAGUAGUACGGUCGCAAGGCUGAAACUUAAAGGAAUUGGCGGG
rnacentral:rRNA from 1 species